rnacentral:lncRNA from 1 species
GAUGGUCAAGCUGACGGCGGAGCUGAUCGAGCAGGCGGCGCAGUACACCAGCGCGGUGCGCGACCGGGAGCUGGACCUCCGGGGGUAUAAAAUUCCCGUCAUUGAAAAUCUAGGUGCUACGUUAGACCAGUUUGAUGCUAUUGAUUUUUCUGACAAUGAGAUCAGGAAACUGGAUGGUUUUCCUUUGUUGAGAAGACUGAAAACGUUGUUAGUGAACAAAACAGAAUAUGCCGUAUAGGUGAGGGACUUGAUCAGGCUCUGCCCUGUCUGACAGAACUCAUUCUCACCAAUAAUAGGCUCGUGGAACUGGGUGAUCUGGACCCUCUGGCAUCUCUCAAAUCGCUGACUUACCUAAGUAUCCUAAGAAAUCCAGUAACCAAUAAGAAGCAUUACAGAUUGUAUGUGAUUUAUAAAGUUCCGCAAAUCAGAGUACUGGAUUUCCAGAAAGUGAAACUAAAGAGCGUCAGGAAGCAGAGAAAAUGUUCAAGGGCAAACGGGGUGCACAGCUUGCAAAGGAUAUUGCCAGGAGAAGCAAAACUUUUAAUCCAGGUGCUGGUUUGCCAACUGACAAAAAGAAAGGUGGGCCAUCUCCAGGGGAUGUAGAAGCAAUCAAGAAUGCUAUAGCAAAUGCUUCAACUCUGGCUGAAGUGGAGAGGCUGAAGGGGUUGCUGCAGUCUGGUCAGAUCCCUGGCAGAGAACGCAGAUUGGGGCCCACUGAUGAUGGUGAAGAAGAGAUGGAAGAAGACACAGUCACAAACGG